CUGGCUCAGAAUGAACGCUUGGCGGCGUGCUUAACACAUGCAAGUCGAACGAGAAAUCUUUAGCUUGCUAGAGAAAGUAAAGUGGCGCACGGGUGAGUAACGCGUGGGUAAUCUGCCUCCGAAUCGGGGAUAACAUUGCGAAAGCGAUGCUAAUACCGGAUAAAAUCUGGUUGGCUUCGGUGAACCGGAUCAAAGGUGGUCUCUUUAUAAAAGCUACCGUUUGGAGAUGAGCUCGCGUACCAUUAGCUAGUUGGUGAGGUAAAGGCUCACCAAGGCGACGAUGGUUAGCUGGUCUGAGAGGAUGAUCAGCCACACCGGAACUGGAACACGGUCCGGACUCCUACGGGAGGCAGCAGUGAGGAAUUUUGCGCAAUGGGGGAAACCCUGACGCAGCAACGCCGCGUGAGUGAUGAAGGCUUUCGGGUCGUAAAGCUCUGUCAGGUGGGAAGAACCCACCAAGUGUUAAGACCACUUGGUGCUGACGGUACCACCGAAGGAAGCACCGGCUAACUCCGUGCCAGCAGCCGCGGUAAUACGGGGGGUGCGAGCGUUAUUCGGAAUCAUUGGGCGUAAAGGGCGCGCAGGCGGUUUUGUAAGUCAGAUGUGAAAUCCCGGGGCUUAACCCCGGAAGUGCAUAUGAAACUAUGAGACUUGAGUAUGGGAGAGGGAAGCGGAAUUCCUGGUGUAGCGGUGACAUGCGUAGAUCUCAGGAGGAACACCGGUGGCGAAGGCGGCUUCCUGGACCAAUACUGACGCUGAGGCGCGAAGGCGUGCGGAGCGACCAGGAUUCGAUACCCUGGUAGU
rnacentral:rRNA from 1 species